UACAGAGGGUGCUAGCGUUGUUCGGAAUCAUUGGGCGUAAAGGGCGUGUAGGCGGUUUGUUAAGUCAUGUGUGAAAUCCCUGGGCUCAACCCAGGAACUGCGUCCAAGACUGGGAGGCUUGAAUCCGGGAGAGGGAUGCGGAAUUCCUGGUGUAGCGGUGGAAUGCGCAGAUAUCAGGAGGAACACCGAUGGCGAAGGCAGCUCGCUGGGACGGUACUGACACUGAGGCACGAAAGCGUGGGGAGCAAACAGGGAUUAGAACUACC
rnacentral:rRNA from 1 species